rnacentral:misc_RNA from 1 species
GAUGAAGAACGCAGCGAAAUGCGAUAAGUAAUGUGAAUUGCAGAAUUCCGUGAAUCAUCGAAUCUUUGAACGCACAUUGCGCCCCUUGGUAUUCCGAGGGGCAUGCCUGUUCGAGCGUCAUAUUAACCACUCCCGCUUGCGGGGUCUUGGGCUUCGCCUCCGGGCGGGACUUAAAAUCAGUGGCGGUGCCGUCGGGCUCUACGCGUAGUAAAUUUUCUCGCGAUAGGGUCCCGGUGGAUGCUUGCCAACAACCCCCAACUUCUUAAGGUUGACCUCGGAUCAGGUAGGGAUACCCGCUGAACUUAAGCAUAUCAAUAAGCGGAGGA